rnacentral:rRNA from 1 species
GGUUAAGCGACUAAGCGUACACGGUGGAUGCCCUGGCAGUCAGAGGCGAUGAAGGACGUGCUAAUCUGCGAUAAGCGCCGGUAAGGUGAUAUGAACCGUUAUAACCGGCGAUUUCCGAAUGGGGAAACCCAGUGUGACUCGUCACACUAUCAUUAACUGAAUCCAUAGGUUAAUGAGGCGAACCGGGGGAACUGAAACAUCUAAGUACCCCGAGGAAAAGAAAUCAACCGAGAUUCCCCCAGUAGCGGCGAGCGAACGGGGAGGAGCCCAGAGCCUGAAUCAGCAUGUGUGUUAGUGGAAGCGUCUGGAAAGGCGCGCGAUACAGGGUGACAGCCCCGUACACAAAAGCGCAUGUGCUGUGAGCUCGAUGAGUAGGGCGGGACACGUGGUAUCCUGUCUGAAUAUGGGGGGACCAUCCUCCAAGGCUAAAUACUCCUGACUGACCGAUAGUGAACCAGUACCGUGAGGGAAAGGCGAAAAGAACCCCGGCGAGGGGAGUGAAAAAGAACCUGAAACCGUGUACGUACAAGCAGUGGGAGCACAGGUUUACCUGUGUGACUGCGUACCUUUUGUAUAAUGGGUCAGCGACUUAUAUUCUGUAGCAAGGUUAACCGCAUAGGGGAGCCGCAGGGAAACCGAGUCUUAACCGGGCGUUAAGUUGCAGGGUAUAGACCCGAAACCCGGUGAUCUAGCCAUGGGCAGGUUGAAGGUUGGGUAACACUAACUGGAGGACCGAACCGACUAAUGUUGAAAAAUUAGCGGAUGACCUGUGGCUGGGGGUGAAAGGCCAAUCAAACCGGGAGAUAGCUGGUUCUCCCCGAAAGCUAUUUAGGUAGCGCCUCGUGAAUUCAUCUCCGGGGGUAGAGCACUGUUUCGGCUAGGGGGUCAUCCCGACUUACCAACCCGAUGCAAACUGCGAAUACCGGAGAAUGUUAUCACGGGAGACACACGGCGGGUGCUAACGUCCGUCGUGAAGAGGGAAACAACCCAGACCGCCAGCUAAGGUCCCAAAGUCAUGGUUAAGUGGGAAACGAUGUGGGAAGGCCCAGACAGCCAGGAUGUUGGCUUAGAAGCAGCCAUCAUUUAAAGAAAGCGUAAUAGCUCACUGGUCGAGUCGGCCUGCGCGGAAGAUGUAACGGGGCUAAACCAUGCACCGAAGCUGCGGCAGCGAACGUAUCACCCAAGACAACUUUGCGGAGUUGACGAUUGACGGAGCGAAGCGACGUCAAAGCGUUCAUUAAAGUCGAGUUGGCUUAGGGAUACGUUCGUUGGGUAGGGGAGCGUUCUGUAAGCCUGUGAAGGUGUGCUGUGAGGCAUGCUGGAGGUAUCAGAAGUGCGAAUGCUGACAUAAGUAACGAUAAAGCGGGUGAAAAGCCCGCUCGCCGGAAGACCAAGGGUUCCUGUCCAACGUUAAUCGGGGCAGGGUGAGUCGACCCCUAAGGCGAGGCCGAAAGGCGUAGUCGAUGGGAAACGGGUUAAUAUUCCCGUACUUGGUGUUACUGCGAAGGGGGGACGGAGAAGGCUAUGUUGGCCGGGCGACGGUUGUCCCGGUUUAAGCGUGUAGGUGUGUGUUCCAGGUAAAUCCGGUUCACUUUAACACUGAGGCGUGACGACGAGGCACUACGGUGCUGAAGCAACAAAUGCCCUGCUUCCAGGAAAAGCCUCUAAGCAUCAGGUAACAUCAAAUCGUACCCCAAACCGACACAGGUGGUCAGGUAGAGAAUACCAAGGCGCUUGAGAGAACUCGGGUGAAGGAACUAGGCAAAAUGGUGCCGUAACUUCGGGAGAAGGCACGCUGACAUGUAGGUGAAGUGAUUUACUCAUGGAGCUGAAGUCAGUCGAAGAUACCAGCUGGCUGCAACUGUUUAUUAAAAACACAGCACUGUGCAAACACGAAAGUGGACGUAUACGGUGUGACGCCUGCCCGGUGCCGGAAGGUUAAUUGAUGGGGUCAGCGCAAGCGAAGCUCCUGAUCGAAGCCCCGGUAAACGGCGGCCGUAACUAUAACGGUCCUAAGGUAGCGAAAUUCCUUGUCGGGUAAGUUCCGACCUGCACGAAUGGCGUAAUGAUGGCCAGGCUGUCUCCACCCGAGACUCAGUGAAAUUGAACUCGCUGUGAAGAUGCAGUGUACCCGCGGCAAGACGGAAAGACCCCGUGAACCUUUACUAUAGCUUGACACUGAACAUUGAGCCUUGAUGUGUAGGAUAGGUGGGAGGCUUUGAAGUGUGGACGCCAGUCUGCAUGGAGCCGACCUUGAAAUACCACCCUUUAAUGUUUGAUGUUCUAACGUGGACCCGUAAUCCGGGUUGCGGACAGUGUCUGGUGGGUAGUUUGACUGGGGCGGUCUCCUCCUAAAGAGUAACGGAGGAGCACGAAGGUUGGCUAAUCCUGGUCGGACAUCAGGAGGUUAGUGCAAUGGCAUAAGCCAGCUUGACUGCGAGCGUGACGGCGCGAGCAGGUGCGAAAGCAGGUCAUAGUGAUCCGGUGGUUCUGAAUGGAAGGGCCAUCGCUCAACGGAUAAAAGGUACUCCGGGGAUAACAGGCUGAUACCGCCCAAGAGUUCAUAUCGACGGCGGUGUUUGGCACCUCGAUGUCGGCUCAUCACAUCCUGGGGCUGAAGUAGGUCCCAAGGGUAUGGCUGUUCGCCAUUUAAAGUGGUACGCGAGCUGGGUUUAGAACGUCGUGAGACAGUUCGGUCCCUAUCUGCCGUGGGCGCUGGAGAACUGAGGGGGGCUGCUCCUAGUACGAGAGGACCGGAGUGGACGCAUCACUGGUGUUCGGGUUGUCAUGCCAAUGGCACUGCCCGGUAGCUAAAUGCGGAAGAGAUAAGUGCUGAAAGCAUCUAAGCACGAAACUUGCCCCGAGAUGAGUUCUCCCUGAGACUUAAAGUCUCCUGAAGGAACGUUGAAGACGACGACGUUGAUAGGCCGGGUGUGUAAGCGCAGCGAUGCGUUGAGCUAACCGGUACUAAUGAACCGUGAGGCUUAACCUU